rnacentral:sRNA from 1 species
UCGGAAUGAUGCUGCGCGGGAUGUAGUCGAGACAAUAGAGGAUCGGCUCGUCCUUGUGCAGAC